GGGUGUAGUUUUUAAAGUCAUACACAAUAUGGCGGCGAUUAUGCGGAAAUGAAAUUGAAUGUUACUUCGAACAGGUUCCUCUACAAAAUAACCGACCUGUAUUUAGUGUUAUUGCUUCAACAUCAAUCAAAAGAAAAAUGGCAUCAAUGUAUGCGUCUAAAAAUGUUAAAUUUAGAUGGAGACAAUCCAGAAAUGAGCUGCCAGGAAGUGAUCGAUUUCGGACACGAAGAUUGUGCCUGGAUACAAGGCUAGUAUUGUUAACAUCAUCUGAUACAAUCAACUGGAACAAAGCUGAAAUGGCUGCCUGACCUGACUUAAAAAUCGGAUGGCAAUACAUCAGACUAGAAGAUUAUUAGUAUUGAGAUGGACAAAAUGAAACAUGAGCCUACCAAAGCUGACAGAUUGCACAAGAAACACAUAAAUGCAGAUUGGAGGAUUCAUUCUCUGGAAAAUAGAAAAGGGCAUGUUACAUACUGUUAUCAUUGCCAUGACAGAAACCAUAUUGAGGAGCUGGUCCACCUGUAGGAAGAAUUGCGCUGGUUGGAGCAGCACUAUUCCCCAGCCAUACACCAGCACUUAGUUUGUCAUAGGGAGCAUUUCUGAGCAGUUAUGGAGACCACUAACUUUGCAGUUGUUGCAGUGAAACUUGCACCAGUGUGUUUUCUGUGGAAAUAAAGAGAUAGUGUCCAGCAAUGAAGACCCAACUCAAGAUCUGACCUUGUAAGGCCAAUAUGAAAUAACUGUGUGGAAAAAUGGGAAAAACCUGCAGUCAGGAAUGCACGGAAAUCAUCAAAAGAACAGUGUUAAAUUAAUCUUAAAUAACUUGACAUUUAUUUUGUUUGACAUAUUUAUUCAUGGUGCAGUGAAAACAUGUUGUUUUUUCCUCAUGGUUAUUUAAAUUUAGAAUUGAUAGGAGGGAACAUCAUUAUGUAGUUUCAUGUUCAUAGUCAGAUCAAAACCCAUGUACAUGUAUAAAUGAGCAUUCGAAAAUAUCAAAAUGGAACUUGUUGUAUGUAGUGUAAGUUAAUUAACAUAAUAAACAAAAAUAUUUAAUAAAUUUCAAUUUAUUAUGCCCCCUUCAAAGAAGAGGUGUAUAUUGCUUUGCAC